CCUACGGGAGCAGCAGUGAGGAAUAUUGGACAAUGGGCGCAAGCCUGAUCCAGCCAUGCCGCGUGCAGGAAGAAGCAUCUAUGGUGUGUAAACUGCUUUUGUACGGGAAGAAACACCUCUACGUGUAGAGGCUUGACGGUACCGUAAGAAUAAGGAUCGGCUAACUCCGUGCCAGCAGCCGCGGUAAUACGGAGGAUCCAAGCGUUAUCCGGAAUCAUUGGGUUUAAAGGGUCCGUAGGCGGUUUGAUAAGUCAGUGGUGAAAGCCCAUCGCUCAACGAUGGAACGGCCAUUGAUACUGUCAGACUUGAAUUACUAGGAAGUAACUAGAAUAUGUAGUGUAGCGGUGAAAUGCUUAGAUAUUACAUGGAAUACCAAUUGCGAAGGCAGGUUACUACUAGUGGAUUGACGCUGAUGGACGAAAGCGUGGGGAGCGAACAGGAUUAGAUACCCUGGUAGUCCACGCCGUAAACGAUGGAUACUAGCUGUUGGGAGCAAUCUCAGUGGCUAAGCGAAAGUGAUAAGUAUCCCACCUGGGGAGUACGUUCGCAAGAAUGAAACUUAAAUGAAAUUGACG
rnacentral:rRNA from 1 species